UAACACAAAAUGUGUCGUCCUUAUCUAGACACACAGAUGUGUUAAGAAAUAAAAAGGUUGUGGUUUUCAACACUUGAACUUUUGACACGACAACUGACAACAAGAAACUUGAAAUGUGAAAAUAAAGAUCCAUCAUCUUUUAUCCAUCAUCUCCAGGCCAUGAACUCAGACCACACCUCAUCUCAGCCAGCGUACAAACACACUUUCCUGGAAUCACUAAACCAGAACCGCUGGAUCGGGGACGGGCAUUUCCUCUCAUCACGUCAUCAGUUUAUAAACGCGUCUCAUCUCUCCAGUUCUUUCAGAUUUAGCGGAUGACUGUAAGAGCUCCACCGACUGCGGGUAACAGCUGAGAUAACAGAUACUGUCCGAGCGCCAUCAAAACAACCUCAUGCUCGUAACCACACAUUUUAUCGUCAUUGGCGUAGUAUCAGCGGUGGUUUUGAUUGUUAUCAUCAUCGCCCUCACCUGCUGCUGCUUUAAGUAAAAAUGGAAAUAGUGUAUCAGAUCUCCAGUAAGACUGCACCUUAUUGGAUGCAGAUUAUACCGUGGAUGUGUUUUAGUCAUAGUUAUUAAAGCCAUUUUUAAAAUUCUUGAAUAUGUCUCAUUUUCAAUUUGUCCUUUCAGUUUGGUUUUUGUUCAGUGACAGUUUUACUUUAUUUAGUGUAUUCUUUCAGUUUUGUUGAUGUUUUUUCCAUUAUAUUUAGUUCGUGUUUUAGAGCUGCCAAAGUUAACAGUGUUAAAUGUAAAUCUAGUGGCAUGUUUAAUGCAGGUGGAUUGAUUGUAAAUGUUCCAAAUUGUACGGAUUAAUAUACUGUGUAUCAAAGACUACAAUUAACUCAUGGUCAGCUUUAUUUUUGUUAGUUUUGUUGGUUAAUGUGGUUGAGUUUCAGCUUUUUUCCAAUUUUCAUAGUUUUCACUAACAGUGAAAUGUUCACAGAUAUUUUAAAUGUCUUGGACUUCUACACAAAACCUGCAAACAGCCAUAGUUCUGUUUAAAGGAAGUGUGAACAAGUUUUCUGUUGAGUUUAUUCUUUUUAAGGUCUAAAAUGCAACUGGAACUGAAUGUGAGAAAGAUUUCCCACAGUUCUGUCACGAGUGUUCAACACUGGAUCCCCGACUGCUGAAAUAAAAGAGAAAUGAUCUCCA